rnacentral:rRNA from 1 species
CCUCGGACGAAUACCAUAGGGGGUAGAGCACUGUUUCGGCUAGGGGGUCAUCCCGACUUACCAAACCGAUGCAAACUCCGAAUACCUAUGAGUACUAUCCGGGAGACAGACUGCGGGUGCUAACGUCCGUAGUCAAGAGGAAAACAAUCCAGACCGCCAGCUAAGGCCCCAAAAUCAUAGUUAAGUGGGAAACGAUGUGGGAAGGCAUAGACAGCUAGGAGGUUGGCUUAGAAGCAGCCACCCUUUAAAGAAAGCGUAAUAGCUCACUAGUCGAGUCGGCCUGCGCGGAAGAUGUAACGGGGCUAAAACUAUGUGCCGAAGCUGCGGAUGUAUACUUUGUAUACGUGGUAGGGGAGCGUUCUGUAAGCCGAUGAAGGUGUGUUGAGAAGCAUGCUGGAGGUAUCAGAAGUGCGAAUGCUGACGUGAGUAACGACAAAACGGGUGAAAAACCCGUUCGCCGAAAGACCAAGGGUUCCAGUCCAACGUUAAUCGGGGCUGGGUGAGUCGACCCCUAAGGCGAGGCCGAAAGGCGUAGUCGAUGGGAAAAUGGUUAAUAUUCCAUUACUUCUGUGUAAUGCGAUGAGAGGACGGAGAAGGCUAAAUCAGCCUGGCGUUGGUUGUCCAGGUGAAAGGAUGUAGGCAUGUAUCUUAGGCAAAUCCGGGGUACUCUAUGCUGAGAUCUGAUAGCAAGCUGUACUUGUACAGCGAAGUGGUUGAUGCCAUGCUUCCAGGAAAAGUCUCUAAGCUUCAGUUACACAGGAAUCGUACCCGAAACCGACACAGGUGGUCAGGUCGAGUAGACCAAGGCGCUUGAGAGAACUCUGCUGAAGGAACUAGGCAAAAUGGUACCGUAACUUCGGGAGAAGGUACGCUGUUGUUGGUGAUGGAACUCGCUUCCUGAGCUGACGACAGCCGCAGAAACCAGGCCGCUGCAACUGUUUAUUAAAAACAUAGCACUCUGCAAACACGAAAGUGGACGUAUAGGGUGUGAUGCCUGCCCGGUGCUGGAAGGUUAAUUGAUGGGGUUAGCGUAAGCGAAGCUCUUGAUCGAAGCCCCAGUAAACGGCGGCCGUAACUAUAACGGUCCUAAGGUAGCGAAAUUCCUUGUCGGGUAAGUUCCGACCUGCACGAAUGGCAUAAUGAUGGCGGCGCUGUCUCCAGCAGAGGCUCAGUGAAAUCGAAAUCGCUGUGAAGAUGCAGUGUACCCGCGGCUAGACGGAAAGACCCCGUGAACCUUUACUGCAGCUUGACACUGAACUUUGACCUUACUUGUGUAGGAUAGGUGGGAGGCUUUGAAGCUGGAACGCUAGUUCCAGUGGAGCCGUCCUUGAAAUACCACCCUGGUAAUGUUGAGGUUCUAACUCUGUCCCGUGAUCCGGGACGAGGACCGUGUCUGGUGGGUAGUUUGACUGGGGCGGUCUCCUCCUAAAGAGUAACGGAGGAGUACGAAGGUGCGCUCAGCGUGGUCGGAAAUCACGCGUAGAGUAUAAAGGCAAAAGCGCGCUUAACUGCGAGACCCACAAGUCGAGCAGGUACGAAAGUAGGUCUUAGUGAUCCGGUGGUUCUGUAUGGAAGGGCCAUCGCUCAACGGAUAAAAGGUACUCUGGGGAUAACAGGCUGAUACCGCCCAAGAGUUCAUAUCGACGGCGGUGUUUGGCACCUCGAUGUCGGCUCAUCUCAUCCUGGGGCUGAAGCAGGUCCCAAGGGUAUGGCUGUUCGCCAUUUAAAGAGGUACGCGAGCUGGGUUUAGAACGUCGUGAGACAGUUCGGUCCCUAUCUACCGUGGGCGCUGGAAAUUUGAGAGGAUCUGCUCCUAGUACGAGAGGACCAGAGUGGACGAACCUCUGGUGUACCGGUUGUGACGCCAGUCGCAUCGCCGGGUAGCUAUGUUCGGAAGGGAUAACCGCUGAAAGCAUCUAAGCGGGAAGCCUACCUCAAGAUAAGAUUUCCCUAGGACUUUAUGUCCUCUAAAGAGCCGUUCGAGACUAGGACGUUGAUAGGUUGGAUGUGGAAGCAUAGUGAUAUGUGAAGCUGACCAAUACUAAUUGCUCGUGAGGCUUGACUAU